rnacentral:lncRNA from 1 species
CUUCAAGACCUUAAUGUGGGUUUCCACUCUUCCUCCUAACAAUUUCACCAUGCCUGGGAUUAGGAGUGAGGGAAGCCUACAACACGUGCAGAAAGGGGAUACUACAUCCGUGGAUGUUUCACCCCAGCCUUAGCCAGCUGGCUUGCCCAGCGUGCAGGCUGCCUGGUGGAUGAAGAGUAACUGAUCGCACUCUUAUCAGCCCUCCUUGUUUUUUCCAGUGGAAAGCACAGACCCUUUCCAUUUUUGCUGUUGCGUUGGCGAGAAGAAACCAUUUGCGAGGUUUCCCAGCUGAGCUCUGCCGGAGUGGAUGAUUCCACAGCCAUUCUAAUGAGGGGGGAGGAAACACAGCCCAUUGGCCAGCUGCUCGUGUGUCUGUGAAGUCAAGACUUCAUGCCACAGAAAAACAGAGCAGCAAAUCUGCAGCAUGUAGUGUUCUCGGAGCAAGGAAGCUGCCGAUUCAUUUGCAAGUGGGCUGGAACAUACCUGGAGAGCUGUAAUUUCUCCUCUUCCAUGCUUUGCUCAAGGUAUGCAUUAUUAUGUAAUAGUUACAUGUGAAAAGAAACCAGAGUCGCUGGUGGAGAAUCCUGACUGUUUCCACUGGGCCUGAAUAGUUCAGCCAGUUGAUUAAAGUGAGUACACUGCAAAGGGUGGGGGAGAUUAAUGCAGAAUAGGCUUGCCAUCUCUGAGAUACAAAAAAAUG